UUCUUGGAGAGUUUGAUCCUGGCUCAGGACGAACGCUGGCGGCGUGCCUAAUACAUGCAAGUCGA
rnacentral:ncRNA from 5 species